GCUCAGGUCCGGACCGCCGCCGGGCGCCUCCCGGGUCGGGCCUGGGCCGGGGCCGGGGCCGGGGCCGAGCCGGAGCCGG
rnacentral:miRNA from 1 species